UCCGGGUUGACCCCGACAGUCUCCUUAGAGUGCCCAACUUAAUGCUGGCAACUAAGGACAGGGGUUGCGCUCGUUGCGAGACUUAACCCAACAUUUCACAACACGAGCUGACGACAGCCAUGCAGCGCCUGUCUCCACGUUCUCCGAAGAGCACUCCCCUCUUUCCAAGGGAUUCGUGGGAUUUCAAACCCAGGUAAGGUUUUUCGCGUUGCUUCGAAUUAAACCACAUGAUCCACCGCUUGUGCGGGCCCCCGUCAAUUCCUUUGAGUUUUAGUCUUGCGACCGUACUCCCCAGGCGGAGCACUUAAUGCGUUAGCUACAUCACGGCGAGGGUUAAUACUCACCAUAACUAGUGCUCAUCGUUUACGGCGUGGACUAC
rnacentral:misc_RNA from 1 species